rnacentral:rRNA from 1 species
GACGAACGCUGGCGGCAUGCCUAACACAUGCAAGUCGAACGGGGAUUACUUCGGUACUCUUCGUGGCGAACGGGUGAGUAACGCGUGGGCAACCUGCCCUCUAGAUGGGGACAACAUCCCGAAAGGGGUGCUAAUACCGAAUGUGACAGCAAUCUCGCAUGAGGAUGCUGUGAAAGAUGGCCUCUAUUUAUAAGCUAUCGCUAGAGGAUGGGCCUGCGUCUGAUUAGCUAGUUGGUGGGGUAACGGCCUACCAAGGCGAUGAUCAGUAGCCGGUCUGAGAGGAUGAACGGCCACAUUGGGACUGAGACACGGCCCAGACUCCUACGGGAGGCAGCAGUGGGGAAUCUUCCGCAAUGGGCGAAAGCCUGACGGAGCAAUGCCGCGUGAGUGAUGAAGGAAUUCGUUCCGUAAAGCUCUUUUGUUUAUGACGAAUGUGCAGAUUGUAAAUAAGAAUCUGUAAUGACGGUAGUAAACGAAUAAGCCACGGCUAACUACGUG